AUCCCAUCUCCAUCCCAUCUCCAUCACAUCUCCAUCCCACCUCCAUCACAUCUCCAUCCCAUCUCCAUCCCAUCUCUAUCCCAUCUCCAUCCCAUCUCCAUCACGCCUCCAUCCCAUCUCCAUCACAUCUUGUUUUUGUGAUUCAUUAUUUCAUCUCCCAUAUCUUUGUGAAGUUGUGAUUCAUUAUUUAAUCUCCCAUAUCUUUGUAAAUUGUGAUUCAUUGACUCAUCUCCCAUAUCUUUGUGAAGUUGUGAUUCAUUAUUUAAUCUCCCAUAUCUUUGUGAAGUUGUGAUUCAUUGACUCAUCUCCCAUAUCUUGGUAAAGUUGUGAUUCAUUGACUCAUCCCCCAUAUCUUUGUGAAGUUGUGAUUCAUUGACUCAUCCCCCAUAUCUUUGUGAAGUUGUGAUUCAUUGACUCAUCUCCCAUAUCUUUGUGAAGUUGUGAUUCAUUGACUCAUCUCCCAUAUCUUUGUGAAGUUGUGAUUCAUUGACUCAUCUCCCAUAUCUUUGUAAAGUUGUGAUUCAUUGACUCAUCCCCCAUAUCUUUGUGAAGUAGUGAUUCAUUGACUCAUCUCCCAUAUCUUUGUGAAGUUGUGAUUCAUUGACUCAUCUCCCAUAUCUUUGUAAAGUUGUGAUUCAUUGACUCAUCUCCCAUAUCUUUGUGAAGUAGUGAUUCAUUGACUCAUCUCCCAUGUGUAUUCAGUCUACAUCCACAUUGUAUUGAGUUGCUUCGCCUCUCCUCCAGUUGUCUCUCCUGUGUCGCCUGGUAUGCCUACCAACCACCAGUCACUCCAUGGGAACUGUGAAACACAUGUGAGAAGUCCACAAAUGACACUUUUACUGCCCCUCAUGUUCAUUAGUGUAUAAAUCUUAGACUUUUUGAAGUGUUCAUUUUUACAAGAGGUGAUCUCAUGUGAAUUGUACUUCAUAAUAUAUUUAUGCAUGCUUUAUAAUUGGCAUUGUGGAUAUUCCGUCCCGAGGAGUUUUUGCCAAGUUAAAUAUGGGUUGAAGAAAUCAAGCUCAUGAGAGAUCUAUUGAGAAUGUAUUGCGGCUUUAUGAGGGAGUGACUGAAAGAUGCAUUGGUCAGCAUUAACACAAUUGUUUAACCUAAACUAAGAGGAAGGUAUUUCAAUUGGGAUAAAAACUCAAGACUUUCUUGUCCGCUACAGUGCAACUGCAAUCCUAAAAGUAACUAGAAAUAAAACUAAUAAACACAUUUCAACAUUCAUCCAAGACAACCACAGACCAGGUACAGUACGUGUUGGGGGUUUUCUUUAACUAAAGAGUAAAGUUCUCUUCUGUCUGUAUCCUCAGCAGUACUUCUGAAGUUACAUGCUCCUCCAAUUACUGGCCUACGUUCCAAAUGGCACCAUAUUCCCUAUACAUUACGUAGGAACUAGGGCCCUGGUCAUAGAGCAGUGCACUAAAUUGGGAAUAGUGUGCUAUUUGGGACGUAGACCGGGUCGCUGGCGUCUCCCCUCUGUACUCUGUCCUUGAACAGCUCUGCGUUGUGAAAAUGUCGCGGAUCAUUAAUCCUCGAUUGUCUUCAUCUGUAAUUUAACCUGUAGCCAUUUUCCUCCCCUCACACUUACCUCUCUCAAUGCCUCUCUCUCUCUCUCUCUCUCUCUCUCAAUGCCUCUCUCUCUCUCUCUCUCUCUCUCUCUCUCUCUCUCUCUCUCUCUCUCUCUCUCUCUCUCUCAAUGCCUCUCUCUCUCUCUCUCUCUCUCUCUCUCUCUCUCUCUCUCU
rnacentral:lncRNA from 1 species